GACGAACGCUGGCGGCGUGCUUAACACAUGCAAGUCGAACGGAAAGACCCUGCUUUCGUGGGGUGACCGAGUGGCGAACGCGGGAGUAACACGUGAGUAACCUGACCUACUCUUUGGGAUAACUUAAGGAAACUGGGGCUACUAUCAUACCGCAUCCGCUGCUCCAUGGAGGGCGUUGGAACGUCUCGGCGGUUGGGGAUGGAUGCGCGGCUGAUGGGCUUGUUGGUGGGGGAGUGGCUGACCCAGGAUUUGAGCGGUCGCCGGCCUGAGAGGGGGAACGGCGACAAUGGGACUGAGAGACGGCGCAGACUGCUACGGGAGGCAGUAGUGGGGAAUAUUGCACAAUGGGAGGAAGCCUGAUGCAGAAACGCCGCGUGCGGGAGGACGGCCUUCGGGUUGUGAACCGCUUUCGCCUGUGACGAAGCGGGAGUGACGGUAAUGGGUAAAGAAGCACCGGCUAACUACGUG
rnacentral:rRNA from 1 species